AUACGGAGGGGGUUAGCGUUGUUCGGAAUUACUGGGCGUAAAGCGCACGUAGGCGGACUGGAAAGUUGGGGGUGAAAUCCCGGGGCUCAACCCCGGAACUGCCUCCAAAACUUCCAAUCUAGAGAUCGAGAGAGGUGAGUGGAAUUCCAAGUGUAGAGGUGAAAUUCGUAGAUAUUUGGAGGAACACCAGUGGCGAAGGCGGCUCACUGGCUCGAUACUGACGCUGAGGUACGAAAGUGUGGGGAGCAAACGGGAUUAGAAACCCUAGUAGUCC
rnacentral:rRNA from 1 species